UCUGCCUUAUCUUCCCCUCACCCGCUUUCUCAUCCAGUCCUAUUCGAAUUUCACUCUAAACUCAUCAACUUGAAAUUUCUGUUGAUCGUUGCUUUUGUUUUUCUUCUCCAAUCUACAGACGGGACGAUGCAGAUGACCAUUGACCGGGUUCCGAUUUAGGUUCUCACGACGGGACUGGGACCGGAUACGUGUUAUCUUCUCAGACAGCCUACUAACAAGUCUCUCGAUCCUUCCCACCGCUUAAUACUCCUAAUUCAGUUCCUUCCAAUUUGGGGGUAUUACCCCAGUAACCCAGUUCCUUUCAUUGUCACCGGAUUCAUCGCAUAAUAACUCAAAGAGUUCGAAAGGCAUGAGUGAUCUUGGUAGGAACAGUACACCACAUCAUCUGCGGCUACGAGUCUACAGGACCAUAUCCGAUUUGCUGCUCACUUCUACGUCUCUGCCUCCGCCUGUCACUUCUUUGUCAUCAACACCAAUAGGCAGCUCCGCUCUUCGUCGCUCCACAUCUUUCCCUAUUAAUGAUGUAGUUGAGUCUAAACUUUACUCAAAUCAACUCCACAUCCUUUCGUUUAUCUGCAUCGUCUACAGGUAUGGUUCCUUUUAAGUUACAAAUUCAUUAAUUUGAAGUAACAAGUCAUCUCUUUUGCUUCACCUGGUGAAGACUUCAUCCAGUUUGUGUAGUUGCUCUUUCUCUAUUCGAUUAGGUCUUACCGAUAGCCUGUUUCUAAAGCGUAUACCAGCUACAGCACCCGCUCUCCCUCGAUUCCAUCAAUGGUUUUGCUAUCUCAUUGUUCCUCUAAAACCCUAUUUUGUGGAUGUAUAAGUUACUAUUUUGUUUUAAUUUUUGGUUAUAUUGGAAGUUUGUGCGAUUUUUUUAUCGUUUACAGCCAUAACACAUUCACUUACUUGAUUUGAGUGUUGAUUGAGGCUUUGAAUGCUGUCAUUGCUUUGGAUCUCAAGAGAAUCAGGUUCUAUUUCCUCUCUUUUUUUCUCGAAAAGAUGUAGCCACUUGAAUGAAAUCACUGCAAUAAGCUUGAACACUAUGUUAUAUGUUUGGAUGAUAAUAUACAAACCGAUUCUUUUCAGCCUGAUUUUGUAACCACAUCUACUGCUUUUCUUGCAUGAGCCACAUUUAAAGGUGAUAUUACUUCAUGGAAUAGUGGCUAAAUGUCCACAUGAAGGUUGUGAACUGGAUCUAAAAGUUGUAAGCUGUGAUAUUUUUUUGACAAAAAAGUUGUUGAGAUGAUGAAAGUAACAACGAUUAAAGGAAGCUUCAAUUCCUGUGACAGAAAAAGUUUAUUGCCUUAUCAUAAAUGUUCAAUGUUGAUGUCAAAAGCGAACUUUUAAAGCUUCCAAGAUUUAUACAUGAUAAUGGAGCUAGAACAUACUGCAAACGUUUUUUUAAAGAAUAUGUUGAAAUUGUGAGUUGUUUUACAAUUAUUAUCUUUUUGUGGGGUGAUUUGCAUGAUUUGUAAUUAACCCCCAUUGUUUUGGUCGGAUUUCAAGCUGAAACAAUUGAUGUUGAAGAUAUUUUGCAUGAUAUGGGAGCAAUAAGCAUCAUAUAUUUUGCUUCACAUGCUAGGGUCACAUUAGGGAGGUAAUCAGUAAAACAUGGCAAAUAGCUAACAAAAUGAAGUUACAAAGAGGCGUCAUUGAUGAUAACAUAUAAAAAGAAUCGAGAGAGAAGGAAUUCAAUUAUUUGUGUAAGGUUACUAUUGUUCAACCUUAAGUACCUUCUGCAAGAUAGGAGUUCGCUUUUACAAGAUGCUAACUGAUCUCAAUGAGAAGAUCUUUGACCAAAACAUGGAUUUUACAUAUUAUUCUUAGUAAUUAAAUGCAGAUAGUCUAAUUCCUUCAUAUCAACAAACUAUAGUUCGUAUAACUAAAGGGAUUAAGCCACUUCCAGCUUGACUGACACCCAUUUGAUGGAAUGCUUAAACCAACAACAACUCUAUUUUGUAUGUAAUUUCUGCAAAAGUAAGUGGUAUCACAUUUUUGUAAUAAUUAUUUUUAGUUGAAUCUCGACGUUGGAUUAGCACAAGGGGUGUUUCCAUGGUAUCCUAAUUUCGUUGGUUAGCUUUUAGGGGUUUUGGGGAUGAACUUUUGGUGGUGGGUGGACAACAGGAGACUAGGGAACUUAAGGGCCAACGUUUCAAGGAACCUAUAGAGGUCGUUGAUGAUGAAAUUGUUUUAGCUGCAAGGAAGUCAAAUUUUAGUAUGGAUAAAGAUCCAGAGUUCGGCAAGGAUGGUAAUUCAAGUUACUAAUGUUGACUAUGACUUUUUUUUACCCAAUUCUGAAGUCAGCUCUGUCUUUUAAUUUAGACUUAAAGCAUGUGGCUGUGGCCAAUGAAGUCCAAUCUUUAGGUUCAAAAUAGGGUCAAGAGUUUGUUGGUAAAGCGACUAUAGAGCAACAGUUUAUGGUGGAUUCUGCUAUAGAUGCUGCAAAAAUAGUUGUUGACUUCAAAAUUAACGUGUGUGUGUGUGUGUAUAUAUAUAUAUAUAUAUAUAUAUAUAUAUAUAUAUAUAUAUAUAAUCUUAUGGUUCUAAAUUAAGCCCAUAUGUUUAUAUUUCCCUUUUUUAAUUAUUUGUUGAUCAUUUGAGGUAGCACUUCUGUCAUGGAUCACAAUAUUAGAUGUCUGUAAAGAUGGUGGCAUUCUUAUGAGAGUAGUGAAGAAUGGAGAACACACAGGACAACCUGGCGAUUUGGAUGAGGUAAAGUGAAGUAUGUAGUGAAGCUGCCUGAUCGUGUUAUAAUUUCUGAAUCACCAAAAGAGGGUGUUGAGGUUUACUUGAAAGAUGGGCAUUUAUGUUCGGCACUACCAAAAGCAAUUAAGACCAUGAUAAGAGAAGAGAAAGCUGAUUUGAUUGUUCAACCACAGUAUGCAUUUGGUGAAGAAGGGGUUACAGUUACAUCACUACCCAAUGGUUUCUCUCCAAUUCCACCAAAUUCUAUGCUUCAUGUUGCAUUAGAAUUGGUAUCUUUCAAAUCUGUAGUUGAUAUAACUAUGUUGAACAUGUAAGAACCUUUGUAUUUUAUAGUUAUAGAACUAUUUACCAAAAUGUAGUUACAGAACUAUUUACCAAAAUGUAGUUACAUAACUAUUAUGUUAUUCUUCUUCCCAGGUUCGAGUCUUAUAAAAACAGAACCAUUUACCAAAAUGUAUCUGAAAACUGACCUACAUAUUAUUUUUAUAGUUACAAAUUUUUGAUUCUAACAUUUUUGGACCAAACUACCCCUACAUAAUAGUUAAAAAUUUUGAUUUUAAGAUUUUUGGACGAAACUGCCUCUUCAUAUUGGUUUUAAACUUUAAAAAUUUGUUUUUAACAGUUUUAGACCAAACUGCCACUGCAUACUAAUUUUAUAGUUAAUUUUUUUUAUUUUAACAGUUUUGGAUGAAAAUGCCCUUGCAUAAUGUUUUUAUACUUAAAAAUUUUGAAUUUAACAAUUUUGGAUGACACAACUCUUGCAUAUCGUUUUUAUAGUUAAUCUUUUUUUUAUUUCAACGGUUUUGAACUCCGAUUGAUGUUGAAUAUAUUUAAGUAGUAAAUUGAGUAAAUAGCGAUAUACUUUGCAUUUUGUUUUUAUUCCUUUACCAAAAAACAAAAGUACAUAGUCAUUUUUUUGUUUUUCCAUCUUUA